rnacentral:rRNA from 1 species
UAUUACAGCCAUAUCACCCUUCAGCCCAAGACUGGUUGCCCACUGAAGCUAAGCAGGGUUGAGCCUGGUCAGUACCUGGAUGGGAGAAAAAUCCCAUGGCACUUCUCGUAAAGAGUAGGGGUGUAACCC